AUUGAACGCUGGCGGCAUGCCUAACACAUGCAAGUCGAACGGCAGCACAGUAGGUAGAAAUACUUAUGGGUGGCGAGUGGCGGACGGGUGAGUAAAGCAUGGGAGUCUGUCUUACAGAGGAGGAUAACCUGGGGAAACUUGGGCUAAUACUGCGUACGCUCUAAGGAGGAAAGCUGGGGACCUGAGAAGGCCUGGCGCUGUAAGGUGACCUUAUGUCGGAUUAGCUAGUUGGUGGGGUAAAAGGCCUACCAAGGCAUUGAUCCGUAGCUGGUCUGAGAGGAUGAUCAGCCACACUGGGACUGAGAUACGGCCCAGACUCCUACGGGAGGCAGCAGUGGGGGAAUAUUGGACAAUGGGGGAAACCCGUGAUCCAGCGAUGCCGCGUGUGCGAAGAAGGCCUGCGGGUUGUAAAGCACUUUAGUUGGGGAA
rnacentral:rRNA from 1 species